CUUGCUCGGAAAUUACUCCUGCAUGGAAAUUCUCUCGUAGGAGUUGCUGUCAGCUCCCUAGGAUGGCUUUCUGGCCCUGGUGGUGGUUUUAAAAGAUUCUGAACCACAAACGAAGACUUGAUUUUUAUUGAGUGGAGUGGAACCUAACUUAACCUAUUGCCUUGCUCGGAAAUUACUUCUGCAUGGAAAUUCUCUCGUCGGUGUUGCUGUCAGAGUUCCCUAGGAUGGUUUUCUGUGGCCUUGAACAAUUCUCAUAAUAGCGUAACAUAACAUAAUCCCUGACUAAGCUAUUUAAGAACCCGGUCACCUGACUUAAGCCAAUCUCCGAGGCCAGUCGCGUGUUGCUCAGAGACUCUUGCGCCAUGAAUCUUCUCUCUACGUAAUCCCCUUGAGAAUGACUUUCAAGGUGGCAGAUCUUAAGGUCGUCGUGUGCUCAGCCGUAAUCCAUUUGCAAGGUGUUUUAAUGUGUUUUUAUGUGCUGGUUAAGUCUUGCCUCAGGUGUCGAGAUUGGGGGUGGAUUAUAGUGUGUGUGUGCGUGUGUUUGUGUGUGUGGGUGGGGGGAGGAAAAAGGAAAGGAAGGAAGGAUAGAUGUGUGUGUGUGUGUGUGUGUGUGUGUAGGGAGGAAAAAGAGGAGGAGGAAAAAGGGAAGGAAAGGAAAGGAAGGAUAGAUGUGUGUGUGUGUGGGUGUGGGUGUAUGGGUGGAGGGAGGAAAAAGGAAAGGAAGGAAGGAUAGAUGUGUGUGUGUGUGUGUGUGUGUGUGGGUGGAGGGAGGAAAAAGAGGAGGAGGAAGGAAAAGGGAAGGAAAGGAAAGGAAGGAUAGAUGUGUGUGUGUGUGUGUGUGUGUGUGUGUGUGUGUGUUGCAAUGGAAGGCUGUGUGUGGAUGACUUGACAAGGUUAUUCUUCCACCAAGACAGUUUCCCCUGACCCCAGAGAUGAUUAACCCUCUAGCUGCGGAACAUGAGUGGGCAAGAGUCCUUUCUAUGCGAAUUACCGGCCCUUAACUAUAAUUCAGACCAAAAGGAGUUCAAAUGUGUAUCAUCUUACUCAUCUCAGUUUUAUGCAGCCACUAAAAUAUUUCAAGAGGAAGUUUUUUUUUUCUGUAUGUCUAUAGCACUGGUAGGCUUACUUGAGGGGCCUAGAUGGUGUUCGGCCCCAGCCCAUCAUGGCGCAAGCAAGUGUUUAUAGUGGCGCCAUCUUCUCUUAUCAGGACACCUCUUCUCACGUAACUGACUGGUCUUUCCGCCACUUCUUUGGAUUCUUUACAGGAGCAGCGAGUAGCGGGCUUUUUUUUAUAUUAUUGCUUCCUUUUUUUAUGCCCUUGUGCUGUCUCAUGAAUAUCCCAGUAACUUCCCGUACGAUCAUUCCCAGGGCCACAGAGAAGGAUAGCUGGAUUUUCAAGGGUGAUUUUUCUGUCCAAGGUUCAGAGGUCGCGUAAAACUAUCACUGGGGUCACAAAAUAGUCCAUGAAAUCCCAGCAACUUCCCGUACGAUCAUUCCCAGGGCCACAGAGAAGGUUAGCUGGAUUUUCAAGGGUGGUUUUUCCGUCCAAGGUUCAGAGGUCGCGUAAAACUAUCACUGGGGUCACAAAAUAGUCCAUGAAAUCCCAGCAACUUCCCGUACGAUCAUUCCCAGGGCCACAGAGAAGGUUAAGUGGAUUUUUGAGUGUGAUUUUUCCCUUUCAAAGUGCAGAAGUUGUGUAAAACUAUCACUGGGGUCACAAAACAGUCCAUUGAAAUCCCAGCAACUUCCCGUACGAUCAUUCCCAGGGCCACAGAGAGAAUUAGCUGGAUUUUCGAGGGUGAUUUUUCCGUUGAAGAGAAAUAUGAAAAUGAAGGAAAAACAGAAAAAUGAUAAAAAUAAAGUUGAAAAAUAAUUAAGAAUGAGUUAGAGAAAUGCAAAUAAGAUGAAUAUGAAGAAAAAAUGAUACAAUAAGAGGAAGUAGAAGAAGAAAUUGAGUUAGAAAAAUAUGAAAAAAAAGGAAAAAUAGACCAACACUGGGGUCGCAAAAUGGUCCACGAAAACACAGCAACUUCAACUAUGAGAGGCUUUUCAAACAGGCAAUUUAGAGGGGGCUUCGUGGUGCAGUGGUUAGCACACUCGGCUCACAACCAAGAGAGCCCGGGUUCGAUUCCCGGGCGGAGUGGAAAAAUUUGGGCGGCUUUUCCGAUACCCUACGCCCCUGUCCACCCAGCAGUGAAUGGGGGUUGUGUCCCGUCUCCUGGGAUCUGUACCCUUCUCCUAUAAUUGCUUCCCCUUCUGUCUCUCUCCGGCAUAUGACCACAGAUGUUGCGCCGACUAAACAAAACUUUUCCAAGCAGUUUAUAACGUCGAUAUGUAUAAGAAAUUGGACGAGAGAGGUAUUAUAUGAAAAUGCUUUACUAAUAGAGUGCUUUUACUUAUAAGAGUGUGCUUGUAGUAGUAGUAGUAAUAGUAGUAGUAGUAGUAAUGUAGAAUGUGCUUUGAUGUGUGUGUGUGUGUGUGUGUGUGGUUACGAGCUUUCAAUAAUGCCUUCCCUAAUACACCAUUGUUGUUGUUACUAUUAUUAAUAUUAUCAUUGUUUUCUUAGCACAGUUAGACAUUUUAAUAUAUAGAUAGACUUUUGUUAAUAUAUUUUGGAUUUGUUUAACUUAUUUAUUUUGCUCUUUGUGUGUGUUAGUGAGUUAGUGGUUUGUGAAGGCAUGUUAGAAUUUUUUGAUUUUAAUGUUGAUAGUCCCUUUUUUUUUGUAACCUUCUUCUUCUUCUUCUUCUUUUCCUUCCUCUAUUUCUUCUUCUUCUUUUCCCUCUUCUAUUUCUUCUUCUUCUUCUUCUGCUUCUAAUUUUUCCUUCUUCUUUUCCUUCUUCUUCUUCUUCUUUUUCUUUUCCUUCUUCUAUUUCUUCUUCUUCUUCUGCUUCUAAUUUUUCCUUCUUCUAUUUCUUCUUCUUCUUCUUCUUCUGCUUCUAAUUUUUCCUUCUUCUUUUCCUUCUUCUUCUUCUUCUUCUUCUUCUUCUUCUUCUUCUUCUUCUUCUUCUUCUUCUUUUCCUUUUCUUCUUUUCCUUCUUCUUCUUCUUCUUCUUCUUCUUCAUCUUCAUUCCUAUAUACCCAGCAUCUCUCCUCCUCCUCUUCCUCCUCCUCCUCCUCCUCCUAUCCCAAAAUAAUCUCCCUCCUUUUCCUCCCUUCUGAAACCUCUCAUUCACCUCCUCCUCCUCCUUCUAUCCCAAAAUCAACUCCAUCUCCAUUUCCUCCUUUCAAAACCUCUCAUUCACCUCUUCCUCCUCCUCCUCCUCCUCCUCCAUUUCCUCUUCAAAACCUCUCAUUCACCUAAUAACCUCCUAUUGCUAAUUUUCUAACAUAAUCUUCUCCUUGUAUUCAGGGUAUCACUUUCAAUGGCAGGGUAUUAGCUCGGUGACUAAGGCUUUUUCUGUAAGCUUCUUCAGGUCGUCAAUAGGCAGUAGUUUGUAAGUCGAGGCUAAUACUUCUUAGGGUUGUACAAAUGACUUGCUGUUCGGACUUUUUCUAUUUCUCUCUCUUCCUCUCUCUCUCGCUCGCUCACUUGCCCCAUUUGACGAGGCUUUCCAGGGGUAGUUUUAUGAGCCUGGUGGUAGUUUGACUCUUCCUCUGUACUGUGACCCUGAGAAACAUGUAUUUGACAGGGCUUUCGUAGGAGUUUUGGGCAUUUCCAGAGGUAGUUUAGCCCUUCUGUACUGUGAGCCUAAAUAAAAAUGAUUGAGAAGGCUUUUGUAGGAGUUUUGGGCAUUUCCAGAGGUAGUUUGACCCUUCUUCUGUACUGUGAGCCUAAAGAAACAUAUUUGAUAAGGCUUUCGUAGGAGUUUUGGGCAUUUCCAGAGGUAGUUUGACCCUUCCUCUGUACCAUGACCCUAGGAAAACACAUAUUUGACAAGGCUUUCACAGGAGUUGUGGGCAUUUCCAGGGGUAAUUUUAUGACCCUAAGAAAACAUUUAUUUGACAAGGCUUUCAUAGGAGUUUUGGGCAUUUCCUUUCAUACAUAAAAUCUUUCUAUCUAUCUAUCUUUCUAUCUAUAACUUUCCGAGCAUAGAGCAUGUGUGUGUUUGUGUGUGUGUGUGUGUGUGUGACCUCCCCUC